rnacentral:rRNA from 1 species
GACGAACGCUGGCGGCGUGCUUAACACAUGCACGUCGAACGAAGUGGCGAACGGGUGAGUAACGCGUAAUCAACCUGCCCUUCAGAGGGGGACAACAGUUGGAAACGACUGCUCAUACCGCAUACUGAAGGAGGGGAUUGCGUCCGAUUCGCUAGUUGGAGGGGUACCGGCCCGACAAGGCGAUGAUCAGUAGCCGGUCUGAGAGGAUGAACUGGCACAGUGGGACUGAGACACGGCCCAGACUCCUACGGUAGGCAGCAGUGGGGAAGCGUCCGCAAUGGACGAAAGUCUGACGGAGCAACGCCGCGUGAGUGAUGACGGCCUUCGGGGUGUAAAGCUCUGUUAAUCGGGACGCGGUACCGGAAUAGAAAGCCACGGCUAACUACGUGCCAGCAGCCGCGGUAAUAC